ACAGAGACCCUCAGGAUGGGGGAUUCUGCAGACUUUAUUUUGGAGACCCCUGGGACGUGGGAAUCCACAGAUGUACUUUUGGAGUCCCCCCGGGAUGGGGGGAAUCUGCAGACUCAAUUUGAAUGCAACAUUAAAAAAGCGUCUUUCGUACCCGGAUGAGGUGUCUUACCCGCUGCAGAUACGUGGCGAAUGGGGGUGCAGUCUCCUUCAGGGAGUCUGUGCUUGGGCUUGAAGUGCACUCUCCAGACUUGUAGGAGCGUGUCCGCCUCGAGGGUGCGUCUGACCCGGUGUCACUAGCUGUGAGUUUCGGGGACUCUGGCCUCCUGCAUGGGAGGACGAAGGCUGGUGAUUUCCGUGAAUGGUCUUCCCUGCACUCCCCAUCUGGGGGAGUACUAUUCCUGACAGUAUCUUGAAUGCAGAGAAAAAAGAAAGUAGGACUUUACCGUCUGAAAAAAUAAUGAUGACAACUCUGAGCAGUGGAUCACUCGGCUCACGGGUCGAUGAAGAACGCAGCCAGCUGCGAGACUUGGUGUGAAUUGCAGGACACAUUGAGCACUUACUUUUCGAACGCACAUUGCGGCCUCGGGUCCUACCCGGGGCCACGUCUGUCUGAGGGUCGGAUUAUGCUUGCAGAAGGAAGUUUCUUCCUGAUUGGUUGUGCCGGAUGCAUCCGCCGACCUAAAUCGUGUGAGUUUUCGACCCCGGCCGAGAGGCAUGCCACGAGAGGAUGUCCGAGAGCGGGAGUGGCGAAGUGCCUGCCUGCGAGCUUGGACCAGUGGUGGGAGCCUGUGCUGGGGAAUUCAGAUGUGGAGCCAAUCUCCUACUUAACUUUGUCGACCUCAGAUCAGGCGAGACGACCCGCUGAAUUUAAGCAUAUAACUAAGCGGAGGAAAAAAAACCAACCAGGAUUCCUUCAGUAACGGC
rnacentral:rRNA from 1 species